rnacentral:rRNA from 1 species
UACGUAGGGGGCUAGCGUUGUCCGGAAUCAUUGGGCGUAAAGCGCGUGUAGGCGGUCCGGUAAGUCCGCUGUGAAAGUCGGGGGCUCAACCCUCGAAUGCCGGUGGAUACUGUCGGGCUAGAGUGCGGAAGAGGCGAGUGGAAUUCCUGGUGUAGCGGUGAAAUGCGCAGAUAUCAGGAGGAACACCGAUGGCGAAGGCAGCUCGCUGGGACGGUACUGACGCUGAGGUGCGAAAGCGUGGGGAGCAAACAGG